CCUACGGGUGGCAGCAGUGAGGAAUAUUGGUCAAUGGACGAGAGUCUGAACCAGCCAAGCCGCGUGAAGGAUGACUGCACUAUGGGUUGUAAACUUCUUUUAUAUGGGAAUAAACUGUUCCACGUGUCGGCGUAUGUAUGUACCUUACGAAUAAGGAUCGGCUAACUCCGUGCCAGCAGCCGCGGUAAUACGGAGGAUCCGAGCGUUAUCCGGAUUUAUUGGGUUUAAAGGGUGCGUAGGCGGAUUGUUAAGUCAGUUGUGAAAGUUUGCGGCUCAACCGUAAAAUUGCAGUUGAAACUGGCAGUCUUGAGUACAGUAGAGGUAUGCGGAA
rnacentral:rRNA from 1 species